UACGUAGGGGGCGAGCGUUAUCCGGAAUUACUGGGCGUAAAGCGUGCGCAGGCGGUUUUGUAAGACUGUCGUGAAAUCCCCGGGCUCAACCUGGGAAUGGCGAUGGUGACUGCAAGGCUAGAGUUUGGCAGAGGGGGGUAGAAUUCCACGUGUAGCAGUGAAAUGCGUAGAUAUGUGGAGGAACACCGAUGGCGAAGGCAGCCCCCUGGGUCAAAACUGACGCUCAUGCACGAAAGCGUGGGGAGCAAACAGG
rnacentral:rRNA from 1 species